GGUUAAGUUAGAAAGGGCGCACGGUGGAUGCCUUGACACUAGGAGUCGAUGAAGGACGGGACUAACGCCGAUAUGCUUCGGGGAGCUGUAAGUAAGCUUUGAUCCGAAGAUUUCCGAAUGGGGAAACCCACCAUACGUAAUGGUAUGGUAUCCUUAUCUGAAUACAUAGGGUAAGGAAGACAGACCCAGGGAACUGAAACAUCUAAGUACCUGGAGGAAGAGAAAGCAAAUGCGAUUUCCUGAGUAGCGGCGAGCGAAACGGAACAUAGCCCAAACCAAGAGGCUUGCCUCUUGGGGUUGUAGGACAUUCUAUACGGAGUUACAAAGGAACGAGGUAGACGAAGCGACCUGGAAAGGUCCGUCGUAGAGGGUAACAACCCCGUAGUCGAAACUUCGUUCUCUCUUGAAUGUAUCCUGAGUACGGCGGAACACGUGAAAUUCCGUCGGAAUCUGGGAGGACCAUCUCCCAAGGCUAAAUACUCCCUAGUGAUCGAUAGUGAACCAGUACCGUGAGGGAAAGGUGAAAAGCACCCCGGAAGGGGAGUGAAAGAGAUCCUGAAACCGUGUGCCUACAAAUAGUCAGAGCCCGUUAACGGGUGAUGGCGUGCCUUUUGUAGAAUGAACCGGCGAGUUACGAUCCCGUGCGAGGUUAAGCUGAAGAGGCGGAGCCGCAGCGAAAGCGAGUCUGAAUAGGGCGUUUAGUACGUGGUCGUAGACCCGAAACCAGGUGAUCUACCCAUGUCCAGGGUGAAGUUCAGGUAACACUGAAUGGAGGCCCGAACCCACGCACGUUGAAAAGUGCGGGGAUGAGGUGUGGGUAGCGGAGAAAUUCCAAUCGAACCUGGAGAUAGCUGGUUCUCCCCGAAAUAGCUUUAGGGCUAGCCUUAAGUGUAAGAGUCUUGGAGGUAGAGCACUGAUUGGACUAGGGGUCCUCAUCGGAUUACCGAAUUCAGUCAAACUCCGAAUGCCAAUGACUUAUCCUUAGGAGUCAGACUGCGAGUGAUAAGAUCCGUAGUCAAAAGGGAAACAGCCCAGACCGCCAGCUAAGGUCCCAAAGUGUGUAUUAAGUGGAAAAGGAUGUGGAGUUGCUUAGACAACUAGGAUGUUGGCUUAGAAGCAGCCACCAUUUAAAGAGUGCGUAAUAGCUCACUAGUCGAGUGACUCUGCGCCGAAAAUGUACCGGGGCUAAAUACACCACCGAAGCUGCGGAUUGAUACCGAAUGGUAUCAGUGGUAGGGGAGCGUUCUAAGGACAGUGAAGUCAGACCGUAAGGACUGGUGGAGUGCUUAGAAGUGAGAAUGCCGGUAUGAGUAGCGAAAGACGGGUGAGAAUCCCGUCCACCGAAUGCCUAAGGUUUCCUGAGGAAGGCUCGUCCGCUCAGGGUUAGUCAGGACCUAAGCCGAGGCCGACAGGCGUAGGCGAUGGACAACAGGUUGAUAUUCCUGUACCACCUCUUUAUCGUUUGAGCAAUGGAGGGACGCAGAAGGAUAGAAGAAGCGUGCGAUUGGUUGUGCACGUCCAAGCAGUUAGGCUGAUAAGUAGGCAAAUCCGCUUAUCAUAAAGGCUGAGCUGUGAUGGGGAAGCUCCUUAUGGAGCGAAGUCUUUGAUUCCCCGCUGCCAAGAAAAGCUUCUAGCGAGAUAAAAGGUGCCUGUACCGCAAACCGACACAGGUAGGCGAGGAGAGAAUCCUAAGGUGUGCGAGAGAACUCUGGUUAAGGAACUCGGCAAAAUGACCCCGUAACUUCGGGAGAAGGGGUGCUUUCUUAACGGAAAGCCGCAGUGAAUAGGCCCAAGCGACUGUUUAGCAAAAACACAGCUCUCUGCGAAGCCGUAAGGCGAAGUAUAGGGGGUGACACCUGCCCGGUGCUGGAAGGUUAAGGAGAGGGGUUAGCGUAAGCGAAGCUCUGAACUGAAGCCCCAGUAAACGGCGGCCGUAACUAUAACGGUCCUAAGGUAGCGAAAUUCCUUGUCGGGUAAGUUCCGACCCGCACGAAAGGUGUAACGAUUUGGGCACUGUCUCAACCAGAGACUCGGUGAAAUUAUAGUACCUGUGAAGAUGCAGGUUACCCGCGACAGGACGGAAAGACCCCGUGGAGCUUUACUGUAGCCUGAUAUUGAAUUUUGGUACAGUUUGUACAGGAUAGGCGGGAGCCAUUGAAACCGGAGCGCUAGCUUCGGUGGAGGCGCUGGUGGGAUACCGCCCUGACUGUAUUGAAAUUCUAACCUACGGGUCUUAUCGACCCGGGAGACAGUGUCAGGUGGGCAGUUUGACUGGGGCGGUCGCCUCCUAAAGUGUAACGGAGGCGCCCAAAGGUUCCCUCAGAAUGGUUGGAAAUCAUUCGUAGAGUGCAAAGGCAUAAGGGAGCUUGACUGCGAGACCUACAAGUCGAGCAGGGACGAAAGUCGGGCUUAGUGAUCCGGUGGUUCCGCAUGGAAGGGCCAUCGCUCAACGGAUAAAAGCUACCCCGGGGAUAACAGGCUUAUCUCCCCCAAGAGUCCACAUCGACGGGGAGGUUUGGCACCUCGAUGUCGGCUCAUCGCAUCCUGGGGCUGUAGUCGGUCCCAAGGGUUGGGCUGUUCGCCCAUUAAAGCGGUACGCGAGCUGGGUUCAGAACGUCGUGAGACAGUUCGGUCCCUAUCCGUCGUGGGCGUAGGAAAUUUGAGAGGAGCUGUCCUUAGUACGAGAGGACCGGGAUGGACGCACCGCUGGUGUACCAGUUGUUCUGCCAAGGGCAUAGCUGGGUAGCUAUGUGCGGAAGGGAUAAGUGCUGAAAGCAUCUAAGCAUGAAGCCCCCCUCAAGAUGAGAUUUCCCAUAGCGUAAGCUAGUAAGAUCCCUGAAAGAUGAUCAGGUUGAUAGGUUCGAGGUGGAAGCAUGGUGACAUGUGGAGCUGACGAAUACUAAUAGAUCGAGGACUUAACCAUAUA
rnacentral:rRNA from 1 species